UACGAAGGGGGCUAGCGUUGCUCGGAAUUACUGGGCGUAAAGCGCACGUAGGCGGAUUGUUAAGUCGGGGGUGAAAUCCUGGAGCUCAACUCCAGAACUGCCUUUGAUACUGAGGAGCUUGAGUCCGGGAGAGGUGAGUGGAACUGCGAGUGUAGAGGUGAAAUUCGUAGAUAUUCGCAAGAACACCAGUGGCGAAGGCGGCUCACUGGCCCGGUACUGACGCUGAGGUGCGAAAGCGUGGGGAGCAAACGGG
rnacentral:rRNA from 1 species